GACCCGUCUUGAAACACGGACCAAGAAGUUUAGCAAUUGCGCGAGUCAAUGGGUUGCAACACCUAAUGGCGAAAUGAAAGUGAAGGUCGACUUGUCGGCUGACAUGUGAUCUGUGGCUUCGGCUGCGGCGCAACAUGGCCCCAUGCUAAUUGCUUGCAAUGGUGUGGAGGUAGAGCGUAAUUGCUGAGACCCGAAAGAUGGUGAACUAUGCCUGAGCAGGAUGAAGCCAGAGGAAACUCUGGUGGAAGUCCGAAGCGGUUCUGACGUGCAAAUCGAUCGUCUGACUUGGGUAUAGGGGCGAAAGACUAAUCGAACCAUCUAGUAGCUGGUUCCCUCCGAAGUUUCCCCCAGGAUAGCUGGAGUGCGCGAAUGUUAUAUUCGGUAAAGCGAAUGAUUAGAGGAAUUGGGGACGAAAUGUUCUCAACCUAUUCUCAAACUUUCAAUGGGUAUGAAGUUGCGGUUUCUUAAUUGAACUGCGACAGUGAAAGAGCGCUCCAAGUGGGCCAUUUUUGGUAAGCAGAACUGGCGAUGCGGGAUGAACCGAACGUUGAGUUAAGGUGCCUAACUCUCCGCUCAUGAGACCCCACAAAAGGUGUUAAUUGAUAUAGACAGCAGGUCGGUGGCCAUGGAAGUCGGAAUCCGCUAAGGAGUGUGU
rnacentral:rRNA from 1 species